rnacentral:rRNA from 1 species
UACGUAGGUGGCAAGCGUUGUCCGGAUUUAUUGGGUUUAAAGGGUGCGUAGGCGGCCCUGUAAGUCAGUGCUGAAAUAUCCCGGCUUAACCGGGAGGGUGGCAUUGAUACUGCGGGGCUAGAGUACAGAUGAGGUAGGCGGAAUUGACGGUGUAGCGGUGAAAUGCGUAGAUAUCGGGAGGAACAUCAGUGGCGAAGGCGGCCUUCUGGUCCAGUACUGACACUCAAGUGCGAAAGCGUGGGGAGCAAACAGG